CUAAGGCCAACGGGAGAAGGGUUGUUAAGGAACUCGGCAAAUUGACCCCGUAACUUCGGGAGAAGGGGUGCUCCAGAGAUGGAGCCGCAGAGAAUCGGCCCAAGCAACUGUUUACCAAAAACACAGGUUUGUGCUAAAUCGAAAGAUGACGUAUACGAGCUGACGCCUGCCCGGUGCUGGAAGGUUAAGAGGAGAUGUGCAAGCAUUGAAUCGAAGCCCCAGUGAACGGCGGCCGUAACUAUAACGGUCCUAAGGUAGCGAAAUUCCUUGUCAGGUAAGUUCUGACCCGCAUGAAAGGCGUAAUGAUUUGGGCACUGUCUCAACAGCCCGCCCGGCGAAAUUGUAGUACCGGUGAAGAUGCCGGUUACCCGCGACAAGACGGAAAGACCCCAUGGAGCUUUACUGUAGCCUAAUAUUGGGUUUCGAUGUUGCAUGCACAGGAUAGAUGGGACACUGGGAAACAAUCGCUUUGGCGGUUGCGGAGUGGCCGUUGGGAUACCAUCCUUGCGAUAUUGGAAUUCUAACCUGCGGCUCUGAAUCGAGUCGGGGGACAUUGUUAGGUGGGCAGUUUGACUGGGGCGGUCGCCUCCUAAAAAGUAACGGAGGCGUUCAAAGGUUCGCUCAGCUUGAACGGAAAUCAAGCAAAAGAGUGCAAACGCAGAAGCGAGCCUAACUGCGAGACUGACGGGUCGAGCAGUAACGAAAGUUGGAGUUAGUGAUCCGGUGGUAUGUGAGUGGAAAUGCCAUCGCUCAACGGAUAAAAGUUACCCUGGGGAUAACAGGCUGAUCUCCCCCAAGAGUCCACAUCGACGGGGAGGUUUGGCACCUCGAUGUCGGCUCAUCGCAUCCUGGGGCUGUAUUCGGUCCCAAGGGUUUGGCUGUUCGCCAAUUAAAGCGGUACGCGAGCUGGGUUCAGAACGUCGUGAGACAGUUCGGUCCCUAUCUGUCGUGGGCGCAGGAUAUUUGAUGGGAGCUGUCCCUAGUACGAGAGGACCGGGACGGACGUACCUCUGGCGCACCAGUUGUUCCGCCAGGAGCAUAGCUGGGCAACUACGUACGGAUCGGAUAAACGCUGAAAGCAUCUAAGCGUGAAGCCGACCCAAAGAUAAGAUAUCCCACUGAUUUAAUCAGGUAAGACCCCUUGAAGACUACAAGGUCGAUAGGCACGAUGUGUAAGUGGAGCGAUCCAUUCAGCAAGCGUGUACUAAUAGGUCGAGGGCUUGACCAC
rnacentral:rRNA from 1 species